rnacentral:lncRNA from 1 species
ACUAUAUUUUAAGAAGCAAUUUUUGUUUGUUUUUUUGGCUUCUGCCGUUUGGGAUGUAUUGAUUAUAUUAAACCUGACAUUUUUACUGCAAGAUGAAGCAAUACCGUUUGUGUUUUUUAAGGUGUUGAUUUAGAGUAGGCUAUGUUUCUUUAAGGAUAUAAUUUAGAAUUGUUUCCCGGGUUUAACUUGUUCAGAAAGUGAAUUCAUCCGGCACUAACAAAAAGAAAAACCCCUCUGUAUACUUUUUGUGCCUCAGUGAGUUCAAAAAUUGAUAUUUCUAAUGCACUGACUUUUUCCUCUCACAGUGGCAAGUGCUAACUGUGGAAUCUAGUGGACCCUGACAGGUCAUCUGUCAGGUGGCUGCCUAACCAAAGCUUGCCUGGGGUGAUCUUACAAAUGUAUUGAUCUUCAUAGAGACUUGUAUCCCUGUAGGAGCCAUAUGUGGCUGUGGCUUCUGGAGUAAGGUAGUAGACACUACUUAUCCUUAUGUUUGUUGGCUCUUUAGCCACUGAGUUACUUCGGAUGUUAAAUACUGUGCAUGUUUAUGUCCCAGAUGUCAGCUUUGCACACCUCAUACUAGCACGAGGCAGACAUUGAAUUUUCUCCAGCUAUUUUCUCUCUACUAAGAACUGAGGAGUCCAAAGAUCUGCUUUCACUUCAGAGAUUUUAGUCAAGCCUAAAAUAUUGAUCUUAAGUCCAAGUCAGUGGUUCUCAACCUGUGGGUUUUGACUCAUUAACAAGCCAGUCUCCAAAAAUAUUCAUAUUACAGUCCGUAACAGUAGCUAAAUUGGUUAUGAAGUGGCAACAAAAAUAUUUCAUGGUUGGGGGGUCAGCACAACAUGAGGAACUGUAUUAAAGGGUUGCAGCAUUAGGAAGGUUGAGGACCACUGGGCAAAGUGAUGCUAGUUUGGGAGCAGAUCCCACAAUCAAAUCCCAAUCUACCUCUCAGCACACUGCAGCUGCUCACCACUGUGCUGCUGCCACCAGCUGCUGCCAGGGUAUUUUACCAUUAACCACAGUUACAAAAUCCUGUUAAAAAGAAAGCAGGUUUGCCAAGAUGCUUUCCUGCUAUCUUAUCUCUGUUCAUCUCCAAAGCAGAGACACCCAACUGUGUAGAAUGCUGGGUAACUCAAUCCCUCUCCUUUAGCAGAGUCAAAUGCUCCAUUUGCUCUAAAAGAUACAGAACGGCUUUUAACAAAAUGUCCUCCAAAGGCUUCUGCCUAUUUGUUAUUUAGCAAAAGUCAUUUAGCCAAAAUUCGGGUACUGUAAAGAACAGUGGCUUCCUUUCAAUAUAUAUUUUGGAUAUUAUCUAGAAGCCUAAUUAAUUAAAUGGACUUUUUGGCUUGCUAAGUAGAUGGCUUGAAUAUUCAGAGAGAUUCCAAAAAUAUGGGUAUAUUCAAAACCUUUCUACUUUUUGAGCAGGAAGCUAAUGUAAUUCUUCAUUAGGUAUUAUGGCUUUAUAUUAGGCAAUUAGCAGACAUGUCUUUUAUUCACUGAGCAUUAAAAUACAAAAUUGUAGGAGGUUAAAAAAGUUGCUUCAAUUCCGAUGAAGUUCAAAGUCUGUGAACUGAGUGGAGUGUUCAAUUAGCUUUGCUUUGUAAGUUCGUGUUAUCCCAAUGUAACAGUGGAUCUGACUAAGACUUUGAUCACACUUAUGGAUGGUGAAUCAUUUUCUACCUAAUCCUCUUUGGGAGAACUGAUGCUUGCUGUUCUUUCAAGUUUUGGAUUUGUCCAUUUAAGGAACUAAUGGAUCCAGGGAAAAUAAAGUAUACUGUGGUAUUCUUGUUUGAUCUCAUAUGUGUGAUUUUAGAUCGAUGCAUUAACGCUAAUAAAGGUGAUACAUUCCAUGCCACCAUGGAUAACCUCAUUUCUGUGUGCACAGCCUUAAGAGCUUAGAUUGAUUUAUAUCUUUUAAAUCCGUUUGAUGUGUCGCAUGAAUCAUGAUCUCAAAGGUCUGCAACUUAACUCAAGUCCCANUANUAAGGGAAACUACUAGAACCCUUUAAAANNUCAACAANN